UUUAUCUGUCUUUCUGGUCACAACAGAAAUUCAAGACGUUUGGGUCCUCAGCUCAACUGACUAAGACCUUUGCUCAUUGAAGGCAUGAAGUAAUUUGUGAUGCCCCCACGAUUGCAGUUUUUAAAUCCAGAUGGCUUGCUCUUUUUAACAUGUGCGAGAGCUGGAUGGUCUUUCAACAACACUGCUCCGGGUCUUCAGCAAGAAAGGUGCUUCUCAUGCAAGGAAGAUACAGAGGAUCCUGGUGCCCAUGACUCAGACUGACAACAUUGAUGUGAAGAGGGAGUGCAUGCUGAGGAGCUGACGGUCUACCUGAAUGAAGAGCCAGACAAAGUGGAUGUUGAUCUGGACGGUCCAGCUGAAACGUAUUGUCUUUGUGUGCGUGUGAUCGGCAGAGAGUCCUCAACGACAUUGGUAACGUACCUGUGGCCAUUGCAGUGUUUGUUUUGGUUUAUGCUCUUAAUCUCUGUUACCUUCCAGAAUGGAAGUACACUUUCAAAUUUCUGUUUCAUUCUAACCGUCUGUUUCAUCAGUUUUUGCACUGCUUUUAAAUGUACACUGUGUAAGAUUCUUAGUUGUUUAUUUCCAGAAUUCAUGCUACCCAUUCACUAAUGUUACCUUUUUCAUGAAUACUUAGCACCACCAUUAGGGUGCAUCAGUUGCCCCCUAUGAAAAGAUAUGGCCUUGGCCCUAUAGUAAAAAUGUUCUACACCCAGUAAAAACACACUGUGUAAAAUAUUUUGAAAUUUGGAUGAAGUCUACCGGGGC